rnacentral:misc_RNA from 1 species
UAAUAAGUGUUUUAUGGCACUUUUUAAAUCCAUAUCCACCUUGUGUGCAAUGUCAGUCGAUCUUCUUCAUGGAGAUCGACCAAACAUCAACCCUUAUCUUUUAACUCUUUGUCUGAAAAAUAUUAUGAAUAAACUAAUUCAAAAUA